ACAUUGACACUAUGACACCACCCAUCUACAGAGCUCAGCUUUCAUUUGCCGACAGGUUUUAGUCAAAAACGAUCUGCAUCACCUUUUAAAAACGAAUUCACCGAAAUACACUCAGGGAAUCAUGAACAUCUUAUUCUUCAGCAUUGCAUUUAACACUGUGCUCGUUUCAGGUUCCUCUCUCAGUGACCAAGUCACUCAGACUCCAGCCGACAUGUACGACACAGCAGGAGGAACAGCGACAAUCAGCUGUUCACACACUAUUACCGACUAUGAUCAAAUUCUCUGGUACAAGCAGUUAAACAGCAAACAGCUGCAGUUCCUGGGAUACAUUAAUGUAAACACUGGAUAUGCUGAACCUGGAGUUAAAGUGGAAUUUCAAGGGGGUGCGAGGAAAGAUGAGACCUCCACGUUAACAAUGAAAGGACUGGACAUGAACAGCAGUGCAGUUUACUUCUGUGCUGCUAGACACAGUGUUGCACAUCAACCCUCCUCAGUACACUAACCUCAUCACCACACAGUUUCAUGUAGAGGUUUACUUCCUCUCACAAGGUGGCAGUUUUUUAUCAAUCCUUUAUACAGAGUUGGUGAUGUGUGGUAGGAGUGAACAUGGUGACAUUGAUACUAUGACACCACCCACCUACAGAGCUCAGCUUUUAUUUGCUGACAGGUUUUAGUCACAGGGGAGGUAAAAACAAACCUGUAUGACCUUUUAAAAACAAAUUAUUCACCAAGUUAAAAUUCACAAGGAAACAUGAAUAUCUUAUAUUUAAGCAUUGUAUUUGGCACUGUGCUGGUUUCAGGUGAUAAACAUUUUAAAGCACUUCAAUGAACCUGGAUUUUAUCUUGCUGACAUUUUUCCUGUAGCUUAAAGUUUUUGUCUUCUUUUUUUU